GGAGGGGUGCGAGCGUUGUACCGGAAUCACUGGGCGUAAAAGGGCGCGUAGGGCGGCUUGAUAAGUACGGGGGGGGUGGAAAUCCCACGGGCUCAACCGUGGGCCUGCCUCCUAAACUGUCGGGCUUGAGCACGGUAGAGGCAGAUGGAAUUCCCGGUGUAGCGGUGGAAUGCGUAGAUAUCGGGAAGAACACCAGUGGCGAAGGCGGUCUGCUGGGCCGUUGCUGACGCUGAGGCGCGACAGCGUGGGGAGCAAACAGGAUUAGAUACCCUGGUAGUCCACGCCGUAAACGAUGGGCACUAGGCGUCGGGGGGAGCGACCCUCCCGGUGCCGUCGCUAACGCAGUAAGUGCCCCGCCUGGGGAGUACGGCCGCAAAGGCUG
rnacentral:rRNA from 1 species